rnacentral:lncRNA from 1 species
CGAUCAUCUUCGCGAUAGGCUGAUCGAUCAAAUCUGGCAUUAAAUUGCUAUUUUCACCGUGCGUAUGUAUCGCUAGUCCCUAUACCGUGCGGCCAUCUUCACGAUAAGCUCGACAUGGUCAAAACCCGGCGAUCCAAAUGGAACCUUUCUUAAUGGGUUAAUCGAGUGGCCAUCUUUGUGAUAGGAUCAACAAGAUCAAACCCGAGCAUUUGGACAAAAAAAUAAUAAAAUAAAAAAAUAAAUAAUAAAAAUAACGAAAUAAGUGUUAUUUUAAUUUGUCAUUUUCGUGAUAGGCAUU